GCCUUUCUUGAUAGCUCAGUCGGUAGAGCACGACAGUCUUCAUCUCAGGGUUGUGGGUUCGAGCCCAAAGUUGGGCA